rnacentral:rRNA from 1 species
UACAGAGGGGGCGAAGCAGUUAUUCGGAAUUAUUGGGCGUAAAGGGCGCGUAGGCGGCCUGACAAGUGGAAGGUGAAAUCCCUCGGCUCAACUGAGGAACUGCCCUCCAAACUGUUUGGCUUGAGACCGGGAGAGGUGAGUGGAAUUCCCAGCGUAGCGGUGAAAUGCGUAGAUAUUGGGAGGAACACCAGUGGCGAAGGCGGCUCACUGGACCGGAACUGACGCUGAGGCGCGAAGCGUGGGGAGCAAACGGG